rnacentral:lncRNA from 1 species
AAGAAAAAAGAAAAAAGAAAAAAUGAAGCAUAUCGCCCUUCAAUCCAUUAGCCUUCUCAAAGAAGUCCCCCCAAAAGCAAUUUUUUUCGUUAAUUAAAUUUUAUUUAUACACCAAUAUCUAUGCAUACUUUUAUAAAAUAAUAAAAAUCGAAUAUACGUAUAUAUACGCACAUAUAUAUUGUAUGUAUUUUCCGGAUCUGAGAGUCGUCGGAACCCAUCGGCGCUAAAACCUGAAUUUUCCCUCUCUCGACAACCCUAAAACACCUCCGCCGAGCCAUUUUUCUUUCUUUCUCUGGAAUCCUUGAUCUUUCUGUGUGUAUAUAUAGAAACACUUGUAUUCAUUUGUUUAUCUAUUUCUGAACAGCGAAAGUUGGAAUUUUCUCAUUUCUUGAAAAUCAAAGAGAUUUUAGCUUGUGAGUUUGAAUAUUUUGUCAUUUAAUACUUCUGCAUGUGGAAAUCAUUUUUAUUUUAUUUUAUUGUGAGCUCGUGCAUGUGUUUUUGGGUUAGAGUUUAGCUGUUAGUUGUUUUUGUUGGUGGAAAAAAAAUGAUCUUCUAACCUUUUUUUCCUUUAUUUUGUUGCUCGCGUGUUUUUAAGAAUUUUCUGUAAUUAUAGUGUGUAAGGUUUUGGACUUGGUAAGUUUAGAGCCGUGCUUGUUACUUGGAAACUUAAGCCAGAACAAAAACUAUUCAACAUUUCUCGCAUUUAAAUAAAUGGGCCUUUUGUAUUUUUAUUUUCUGAGGGUUUAUGGAUUUAUGAACCUCAAUUUGAUGAACUCAUUGUUUUGUGGAAGUAGAGUAAUCUUUUUCUUGUAUUUUUUAGAACUUACGGUACAUUUACCUUCACCUUCACUAUAUAAUGGGAUCGGGUAAUAUUACAAAUUUCUUGGAUUCUUCUAGUUUAAUUACUGUCAGCUUUUCGGCAUUGCUUUGCUUUUCUUUUUGAAGGAGCAAUUUUGUCCCAAUAAAUUUGUUAACACUUCUGGUGAAGCAAUUUUGAACUGUACAAGCAAAGGGAAUGAACUGGGGCAUUUAAGUUGCAUUUUCUCUCUUGAGAAAUGCCCUGCCAAAUUAAGUUGCUUUUGUAAGGUUAUUUAAACAUGAGAAAGGUUAAUAGGCCUGGUACCUUUUGCACCCUUCAGUUAGUUUUUGUAGUGAUGAACAAUUGAAAAAAAGACACUUCACAAGCAGGCAGCUGGCAGAGAGAGAGAGAGAGAGAGAGAGAGAGAGAGAGAGNG